rnacentral:rRNA from 1 species
CCUACGGGAGGCAGCAGCUAAGAAUAUUCCACAAUGGGCGAAAGCCUGAUGGAGCCACGCCGCGUAGACGAUGAAGGCCGGAAGGUUGUAAAGUCCUUUAGCAAGUGAGGAAUAAGCGGGACAGGGAAUGGUCUCGUGGUGACUGUAGCUUGAGAAUAAGGGUCGGCUAGUUACGUGCCAGCAGCCGCGGUAAU